rnacentral:lncRNA from 1 species
UAUCAAAAGCUAUAUAUAUAUAUAUAUAUAUAUUUUUAAUCAAGCGUCUGGCUAAUAUUUUGUAGAAUAUUAAAAGAUAAAUACUACUUAUACAUUUAAUUUUUUAAUGCAGACCAUAUGCUCCAUUCAUCUAAAUGUUAUUUUACUUUUCACUCAUCUAAUGAAUGGGGUGUCUUUACUAGUCACACUUAGGACUUACAAUCUAGUUCGUUGUCUGCAAGUCAGCUUACAUUUAGCUCGAAAUAAAUUCGAAAUCGAUCGUUCGUUUAAUAAAUAAGUUAAAUCUGAGCUGAAUUUUUCAGUUUAAAAUUUAAUAAGUGAAACACGAACC